UCUGCCGGUCGGGCGGCCGCGCGCGGAAACGCUCGAGGAACGUCCGGGCUCCGUAGGGCAGGGUGAUGGCUAACAGCCACCCGGGGUAACCCGCGGGACAGUGCCACAGAAAACAAACCACCGGCGCACACGCGUCGGUAAGGGUGAAAAGGUGAGGUAAGAGCUCACCAGCGGCGCGGGCGACCGCGUCGGCUAGGUAAACCCCACCCGGAGCAAGACCGAGCAGCAGGCAGGGCGGCCCGUCCGAUGCCUGCGGGUAGGUUGCUGGAGGCCGUCGGUAACGACGGUCCUAGAUAGAUGGUCGCCACCGCGUGUCCGGUAACGGCGCGAGGAACAGAACCCGGCGUAUAGGCUGACAGAUCCC
rnacentral:RNase_P_RNA from 1 species